rnacentral:tRNA from 2 species
GCCGCCUUAGCUCAGUUGGUAGAGCAACACUUUUGUAAAGUGAAGGUCCCCGGUUCGAGUCCGGGAGGCGGCU